GCUUGUCUAAAAGAUUAAGCCAUGCACGUGUAAGUACACACUCUUGGUAUAGUGAAACUGCGAAUGGCUCAUUAAAUCAUAUGUGAUUUCUUAGAUCGUUGCGUCCUUUCGGGGACGACUGGAUAACUGUGGCAAUUCUAGAGCUAAUACAUGCAAUCAAGCUCCGACCUUAACGGGACGAGCGCUCUUAUUAGACCAAGGCCAACCUGUGUAGGAAACUCGCAGUUUGCUGUGGUGACUCUGGAUAAGUUUAGUUGAUCGCAAGACCUUUGCGUCGGCGACGUAUCUUUCAAGCGUAUGCCCUAUUAGCUGUCGACGGUAGGGUAGCGGCCUACCGUGGCAACGACGGGUAACGGGGGAUUAGGGUCCGAUCCCGGAGAGUAUGCCUGAGAGACGGCAUACACAUCUAAGGAAGGCAGCAGGCGCGCAAAUUACCCAAUGGGGACACCCUGAGGUAGUGACAAGAAAUAACAAUACGCGACUCUUUCGAGGCCGCGUAAUUGGAAUGAGCACAGUCUAAAUCCUUUAGCGAGGAUCAAUUGGAGGGCAAGUCUGGUGCCAGCAGCCGCGGUAAUUCCAGCUCCAAUAGCGUAUAUUAAAGUUGCUGCAGUUAAAAAGCUCGUAGUUGACAAUCGACGCUCGUCUCGGCGGUACUGUUCACGCAGGCACUGCCUUGACGGCAUCUACACACUGGCUUGCGGCCGUGCACGCUCGGCAACGGGUGUGUCGUGUCCGAGCCCCGGGUGUCCUUCACUGGGUGCCCGUGGGUGGCCUUUGCGUUUACUUUGAAGAAAUUAGAGUGUUCAAAGCGGGCUAUUCAUAGCUCGAAUACUCGGUACAUGGAAUAAUGGAAUAGGACCCUGGUUCAUUUCUGUUGGUCUAUGGACAAUGGGUAAUGAUUAAAAGGGACUGCCGGGGGCAUUGGUAUGGCAGGGGGAGAGGUG
rnacentral:rRNA from 1 species